UAAUACGUAGGAUCCAAGCGUUGUCCGGAAUUACUGGGUGUAAAGGGUGCGCAGGCGGGCUGAUAAGUCAGGGGUGAAAGCGUGCGGCUUAACCGUACAAUUGCCUUUGAUACUGUCAGUCUUGGAUAUGAGAGAGGCUCGUGGAAUUUGUGGUGUAGCGGUGAAAUGCGUAGAUAUCACAAAGAACACCAGUGGCGAAGGCGGCGAGCUGGCUCAUUAUCGACGCUCAUGCACGAAAGCGUGGGGAGCAAACAGG
rnacentral:rRNA from 1 species